ACUCCUACGGGAGGCAGCAGUAGGGAAUUUUCGGCAAUGGGGGAAACCCUGACCGAGCAACGCCGCGUGAGUGAAGAAGGUCUUCGGAUUGUAAAGCUCUGUUGUAAGGGAAGAAAUGUACUUUGAGAAAAAGUACUUGACGGUACCUUACCAGAAAGCUACGGCUAACUACGUGCCAGCAGCCGCGGUAAU
rnacentral:rRNA from 1 species